CAAGAAGCAGGGAGUAGUUAAGAACCCAGGCUAUGGGCAAUGGACAGUGAAACGGCAGGAAAUUGUCCUCCAGGUUUACCAAAAUCUGAACAAAUCUAGUGCCUGUCAGUGGAUCCUGGCUGCUGAAAACUGGAAACUUGGCAUGGAAUAAAGUAGACAUGGAUAGUGCUUAGCGGGUUGCAGCGUGUCUGCUGGGGUCUGGACAAGCCUCCUGUGCGCUCCUAGCCUUUCAACAGCCCAAGUAGUCAACCAGUCCAUCCGAACAGCACAGCAUUCGGACCAGCCUCUUGCUACUUAGUUCCAGAGUCGCCUCUUCACAAUGUUAAAAACUGUAAGGCUGUUUUAGACGCUAAAUCCACAAAGCAGGUGGUUGAUAAGAUUAUUGGCUCAAGAAAAUAGAAAGUUUGUGGCUGGGCCCAUUAUAAAAGGAAAUUCUUUUCAAUGAUUUACAAAUAAAUGAACUUCAGUGAAGGCA
rnacentral:lncRNA from 1 species